rnacentral:rRNA from 1 species
UGGGGAAUUUUCCGCAAUGGGCGAAAGCCUGACGGAGCAAUACCGCGUGGGGGAUGACGGCCUAUGGGUUGUAAACCUCUUUUUUCAGGGAGGAAUCAAUGACGUGUACCUGAAGAAUAAGCAUCGACUAACUCCGUGCCAGCAGCCGCGGUAAGACGGAGGAUGCAAGUGUUAUCCGGAAUCACUGGGCGUAAAGCGUCUGUAGGUUGUUCAAUAAGUCAACUGUUAAAUCUUGAGGCUCAACUUCAAAAUCGCAGUCGAAACUAUUAAACUAGAGUAUAGUAGGGUAAAGGGAAUUUCCAGUGGAGCGGUGAAAUGCGUAGAGAUUGGAAAGAACACCAAUGGCGAAAGCACUUUACUGGGCUAUUACUGACACUGAGAGACGAAAGCUAGGGUAGCAAAUGGGGUUAGAUACCCCAGUAGUCCUAGCCGUAGACGAUGGAUACUAGAUGUUGAACAGAUCGACCUGUGCAGUAUC